AGGGCGUACGGCGAAUGCCUGGCCACUCGAAACUGAAGAAGGACGCGCCAAACUGCGAAAAGCUCCGUGAAGCUGUAAGGAAGCGAAGAAGCGGAGGUGUCCGAAUGGGGGAACCCGGCAGCAGACAUGAGCUGUCAUCUGCAGGUGAAUACAUGGCCUGCAAGAGAGGUACCCGGCGAACUGAAACAUCUAAGUAGCCGGAGGAAAAGAAAACAACAGUGAUUCCCUGAGUAGCGGCGAGCGAAAGGGGAGAAGCCCAAACCGGUCCAAGGACCGGGGUUGAAGGACCAUGAUAUGGCAAGAGAGAGGAUAGAAGAACGGGAUCGAAAGCCCGGCCGAAGAAGGUGCAAGCCCUGUAAUUGAAAUCCGAUUGAAGCCUAAUGGGAUCCUGAGUACGGCGAGACACGAGGAAUCUUGUCGGAAGCAGGCGGGACCAUCCGCCAAGGCUAAAUAUAAACGAGUGAGCGAUAGUGAACCAGUACCGUGAGGGAAAGGUGAAAAGAACCGCGGGAGCGGAGUGAAAGAGAACCUGAAACCGUAUGCCUACAAGAAGUCAGAGCCCGUUAAGGGGUGAUGGCGUGCCUUUUGUAGAAUGAACCGGCGAGUUGCGACAGACUGCGAGGUUAAGGAGGAAAGACCGGAGCCGAAGCGAAAGCGAGUCUUAACAGGGCGAAAGUAGGAUGUUGCAGACCCGAAACCGGGUGAUCUAGCCAUGAGCAGGUUGAAGUUGAGGUGAAACUCAAUGGAGGACCGAACCGACUACCGUUGAAAAGUUAGCGGAUGACUUGUGGCUAGGGGAGAAAUUCCAAUCGAACCCGGAGAUAGCUGGUUCUCCCCGAAAUAGCUUUAGGGCUAGCGUCGGAAAGAACCUUAGUGAAGGUAGAGCACUGAAUGUGUGAUGGCCCCAUCCCGGGGUACUGAAUACAAUCAAACUGCGAAUGUCAUUAAGGAUGUCCGGCAGUCAGACUGUGAGUGAUAAGGUCCAUGGUCAAGAGGGAAACAGCCCAGACCGCCAGUUAAGGUCCCAAAAUACAGGCUAAGUGGAAAAGGAUGUGGGGAUGCCCAGACAACUAGGAGGUUGGCUCAGAAGCAGCCAUCCUUUAAAGAGUGCGUAACAGCUCACUAGUCGAGUGACCCUGCGCCGAAAAUGUACCGGGGCUAAGCCUGAUACCGAAACUGCGGAUUGUAGGAAACUAUAGUGGUAGGGGAGCGUUGUAUACGAGUGGAAGCCGUACCGUGAGGAGCGGUGGAUUGUAUAGAAGUGAGAAUGCCGGUGUGAGUAGCGAGAUGUAGGUGAGAAUCCUACACACCGAAAGCCCAAGGAUUCCAGGGGAAGGUUCGUCCGCCCUGGGUAAGUCGGGACCUAACGCGAGGCCGAAAGGCGUAGUGGAUGGAAAGCAGGCGAAAGAUUCCUGCACCCGUAUAUGGAGCGAAGGAGUGACGGAGACGGAUAGUGUGACCCUCUUAAUGGAUUGAGGGCGAAGCGAAGCGGCUGGUUACCAGGCAAAUCCGGUAACCAUAAGGCUAGAGCGUGAUAGGUAAGCGAAAUCUUCGGAAAGUAGCGAAGCACAUGAUGACGGCUUCCAGGAAAAGCUUCUGGCAAUGCAUAUGCGGCCCGUACCAAAACCGACACAGGUGGGCAGGGAGAGAAUCCCGAGGUGAGCGAGAGAACUGUUGCCAAGGAACUCGGCAAAAUGACUCCGUAAGUUAGCGAGAAGGAGUGCUUAAGCAAUUAAGCCGCAGUGAAGAGGCCCAAGCGACUGUUUAACUAAAACACAGCUCUCUGCGAAGUCGCAAGACGAAGUAUAGGGGGUGACACCUGCCCGGUGCUGGAAGGUUAAGAGGAUCUGUUAAGAGCGAUCUGAAGCAGUGAUCCGAAGCCCCAGUGAACGGCGGCCGUAACUAUAACGGUCCUAAGGUAGCGAAAUUCCUUGUCAGGUAAGUUCUGACCCGCACGAAAGGUGUAACGAUUUGGGCGCUGUCUCGGCAGCAGACUCGGUGAAAUCUUAGUACCUGUGAAAAUGCAGGUUACCCGCAACUAGACGGAAAGACCCCAUGGAGCUUUACUGCAGCCUGAUAUUGAAUUCUGGUCAUACAUGUACAGGAUAGGUGGGAGACAAAGAGACGUGCACGCCAGUGUACGAGGAGUCGACGUUGGGAUACCACUCUUGUGUGACCGGGGUUCUAACCUGGUAUCGAGAACAGGUACGG
rnacentral:rRNA from 1 species